rnacentral:rRNA from 1 species
UACGUAGGGUGCAAGCGUUGUCCGGAAUCAUUGGGCGUAAAGCGCGCGUAGGUGGCUUCGUAAGUCCGUUGUGAAAGUCAAAGGCUCAACCUUUGAAUGCCGAUGGAUACUGCGAAGCUAGAGUACGGAAGAGGCGAGUGGAAUUCCUGGUGUAGCGGUGGAAUGCGCAGAUAUCAGGAGGAACACCAAUAGCGAAGGCAGCUCGCUGGGACGUUACUGACGCUGAGGAGCGAAAGCGUGGGGAGCGAACAGG